GUUUUAAUAAUUUAAUAAAAAUAUUGAUUUUGUAAAUCAAACUUGAGUUGUUCUCUUAAAUCA
rnacentral:tRNA from 1 species